rnacentral:rRNA from 1 species
AUUGAACGCUGGCGGCGUGCCUAACACAUGCAAGUCGAGCGGCAGCGCGGGAGCAAUCCUGGCGGCGAGCGGCGGACGGGUGAGUAAUGCUUGGGAAUCUGCCUGUUAGUGGGGGACAACCCGGGGAAACUCGGGCUAAUACCGCAUACGCACUACGGUGGAAAGCCGGGGACCGCAAGGCCUGGCGCUAACAGAUGAGCCCAAGUCGGAUUAGCUAGUUGGUAGGGAACGGCCUACCAAGGCGACGAUCCGUAACUGGUCUGAGAGGACGACCAGUCACACCGGAACUGAGACACGGUCCGGACUCCUACGGGAGGCAGCAGUGGGGAAUAUUGGACAAUGGGGGAAACCCUGAUCCAGCGACGCCGCGUGGGUGAAGAAGGCCUGCGGGUUGUAAAGCCCUUUCAGUGGGGAAGAAAGCCUCGACCUAACACGUCGGGGUCUUGACGUAACCCAUAGAAGAAGCACCGGCUAACUCUGUGCCAGCAGCCGCGGUAAU